UACGGAGGGGACUAGCGUUGUUCGGAAUUACUGGGCGUAAAGAGUUCGUAGGCGGAUAAGCAAGUAAGAGGUGAAAGCCCAGGGCUCAACCUUGGAACUGCCUUUUAAACUGCUUAUCUAGAGACCGGUAGAGGUUAGGGGAAUACCUAGUGUAGAGGUGAAAUUCGUAGAUAUUAGGUGGAGGAACAUCAGUGGCGAAGGCGACUCGACUGGACCAAUACUGACGCUGAGGCGCGAAAGCGUGGGGGAGCAAAACAGGAUUAGAUACCCCCUGUAGUCC
rnacentral:rRNA from 1 species